AGAGGAUUAGGACUUCGGAUGGAGAAGACACACAUUUAUGAUGCACAAAGGUCCUGGGAGGUCUCCCUUGGCAGCUAACUCUACCCACCAGGAAGAUCCAGUCACACACAAGCAGGGAGGGAAAAAGGGAAGGAUGAACAGGGUUGACUGGAGGAGACAUUAGGAUGGGGCAAGACUAUAAGUACAGCAUAAUUUCAAAAGCACAGAGCAACCAGAUGAGGGGGAGUGGCAGGGAUGUGCUUGGAAAGACCGGCAGGAGAGUAAGCUCCUGAAGGGACCUGAAUGCUAAGCUCAGGAGCUUGACCUUCAUCCUAAAAUAAAAGGCAGCCCAAAAAGUUUCUGGAGAGUGACUGAGCUGGGCUUUAUGAUUAUCUUGAUGGACUGAACACAGGGAGGUCAGGGUAGUUGAGCAUUAAUGGGACCCUAAAUAAGGGUAAAAAUGGAAAAAAGCAAAAGAAGACUCAUUUCAAAGAGAACUGACAGGACACAAGCAAAUUAGGAUGUUGGGGCUAGUGGUGGUGUGUGAAGAACAAGGAAUCAAGUGGAGGGGCUGUCAUGAACAGAGAGACAGGGCCUUACUAUGUUGCCCAGGCUGGUGCUGAACUCCUGACCUCAGGAUAUGUGACCAUAUUCCACUGAUCAAAAACCUUCGAUGGCUCCACUGUCCACAGAAUAGCUUAAUCAAGAUCCUUCACAAUUUGGCCCUAAAUUUCCUUUCUGAACAGAAUCCCCACUUCUCUCCUUCAAGCAUCCCAUACUCCAGCCAAAAUUAACUCCCUCCUGUUUCUAAUAUUUGCCUUCCCCUCCCCUGCGUGUGCCUCAUCCUAACACUAUUCCCUACCUGGGAGUCCCUUGCACAUUUUUCUGACUCUGCCUGGUUCCUCCACAGCUAUUCCUACUUGGUGUCACCUACAGAUUCAAACCACCCAAUUUCCCCAGACAGAACCUAAAACAGGGGUCAGAAAACCAUAGACUGCCUGUUCUUGUAAAUAAAGAAUACAGUAAUGCCCAUUCA